CUCAUUAGUUGAGAUUUUCUUGUUGGUUUACAUACUUUCUGACUUCUAUAUAUACUUUUCAGAAAACUUUGAGAAGAGGAGGCACUCUAUCCUCGAUAUGGCUACUAUCCUAGCAGCUACCUUCACUGCUGGGAAGAAGGGGUUGAAGCCCUUAUUUGUUGCUGCCAAAUAGGUGAGAGACGAAGUAGAGAGGAUCAGCAGAAAGGCUGCUGGUCGUGAAGGAGAUUAGCGGUCUUCCAUUAAGGAUAAGGGAAAAGAUAAAGUUGAGGAGGUCCCCAAGAAAAAAACAAAGGUUUUUCGUCACUAGAGAGGGUGAAUUUUCAUGGAUUAAAAGGAAGUGAAGGAAAGAAGAGAAAAUUGGGCGAAAAUGGCAAUAUUUGAAGUACGUGGAUUAAAGUGGCCAUUGAAAGAAAAUUGGAGAGCAAUUGGAAGCCUUUUGAAAGUCAAACAUUGUGGGCUAUGUUACCACUAAUAUAAAUACAUUUAUAUCCCGUUUACAGAAAGAGGAGAAAAAAAGAAGAGGGGAGAAAAAGAAAAACCUAAAGGAAAAAAAAAAAAAAAAAGCGGCAGAGGGAAUUGAAGGUGGAUGGCAGCAAGGAAAAGUCAGAGAACAAGGAAUUUUGGCCACUUUGGAGUCUAAUUAUGCCAAAUAAAAACAAAGGUUCUUAUGAAUUUUGGCCACUUUGGAGUCUAAUUAUGCCAAAUAAAAACAAAGGUUCUUACUGCUUUAGUUAUAUAUACACACACAUGACAAUUACUGGGGGAAGUGGAGUUCUUUUGUGAAACAAAGAGUCCAGCUGCUGCAGAAAAGUGGAGAGAAGAAAAAAAAUCUGGUUUUGAGAAAUAAAAUUGCUGGCUGAAUUUCAUUGAAGGAAGGCUGGAGGCUAUUGGUGAAUUAUAUAAUUAUAUAUACACGGCAGAGGUGCUGGGGGAAAUUGGAAGGAAACAAAACCGGCUGCUUGUAGUAAGAAAUUGAGCAACAUUGGGCAUUGUUUUGGCAGUCAAAUAUUGUGGCUGGAAUUAAUAUAUACAUCAAUUAGAGAAGCCGAAUUAGAGCAGAAAACGUGGAAGCUGGCUGCUUGGGAUGAAUUGAUUAGUUUAUGCAUUAAAUUGGUGGCUGCAAGUGUGACAAAACAUUUGCUUUGUAUUGGAGCCAACUGUGUGGAUGUUAUAAACAUAAAAGGAAGGCCAACUUCGAGAUUUACUCGCUAACUGGGAGUUGACACAUACACGUGCAAAGGCUGGGAAUAAUUUUGGAAUUUAAUCACCUCCCGUCGAUUUUCGGUGACUUCCUUCCACUUUUAUGUAUUUAAUUCCAACAGUAUGCUAGGCUAAUUUUUCUCAUGUAUUGGAUGGAUGACAAAAUUGUUUAAUUCUUAAUUUUAAUUCGAGACAUGUGUUUAUUUUAAUUAUUGUGUUGUGAUUUCAUUAGUAUACAUAAUUAGAUUGUUUUAA